rnacentral:tRNA from 1 species
UCCGAGAUGCGCAGAAUUGGUAUUGCAGCGGACUGUUAAUCCGUCGACGCAAGUCAACUACAGGUUCGAGUCCUGUUCUCGGAGCCA